GCCGCAGUGGUGGAAUUGGCAGACACACUAGGCUUAGAACCUAGCGGGUAAAACCAUGGGGGUUCGAGUCCCUCCUGCGGCA
rnacentral:tRNA from 1 species